AGUUGAAAAUUUAGCCAGACUACCACCUCACUCUAUAACCGACCACAAACCAUUUACACAAAUUAGUAUGGGCGAUAGAAAAUUAAUAAGCGCAAUAAAUAAUGUACUGCAAAGGAAAAAUGAAAUAGAAGUUAAAUAAACCAUAAAAACACAAUAAAGUAAAAACUAAUAUUUUUACCUUUAGCAUCAUGGUCUAGCAAGUACAACCCAACAAAAAGAAUUUAGCCGGACACCCCGAAACUAAGCGAGCUACCCUGGGGCAAUACAUGAAUCAACCUUUCUCUGUGGCAAAAGAGUAGGAAGACCUCAAGGUAGUGGCGAAAAACCUAACGAGCUUGGAGAUAGCUGGUUGCUUGAGAAUGAAUUUUAGUUCAACUAAAGACCGCCUACUUCUAAAGAAAAUUAACGUCUCUAUUAUAAUCAAUUAAGGUACAGCUUAAUUAAUAAAGGAAACAACCUAUAUAAAUGAGUAACGACUACAACUAACAAGGAUUAUAUAACAGUAGGCCUAAAAGCAGCCACCAACAAAAUAGCGUCAAAGCUUUACAAACAGACACCAACUAUCCAAGUAAAUAAUCCAAACUCACAAAAAUAAUCAAGCUAAUCUAUUUAUAGAUAAAUUAUUACUAGAAUGAGUAACAAGGACUACCUCAUAAUACACGUGCAAAUCAGAACGAACCAAUCACUGAUAACUAACGACAUAUUACAUAAACAAGAAUAUAUUCUACAGAUCGUUAACCCAACACAGGAGUAUUUAAGAAAGACUUAAAGUUUAGAAAGGAACUCGGCAAACCUGAACUCCGCCUGUUUACCAAAAACAUCGCCUUUUGACAUAUAUUUAUAAAAGGUCCUGCCUGCCCAGUGACCAUGUUCAACGGCCGCGGUAUCAUGACCGUGCAAAGGUAGCGUAAUCACUUGUCUUUUAAAUAAAGACUAGUAUGAACGGCAACACGAGAGUCCAACUGUCUCACUAAACUGGUCAGUGAAAUUAAUCUUUCCGUGCAGAAGCGGAACUAAUCAUAUAAGACGAGAAGACCCUGUGGAGCUUUAAAUCUAAGCUAAUAUGUAUAAUACCAUAGCACAUGAUUUUCGGUUGGGGCGACCGUGAGGCAAAACAAGCCCUCAAGACAUUAAUUAGAGAGACAUCUCAACCAAAUAGUAAAACUAGUACAUUGACCCAAUAAUUGAUCAACGAACCAAGUUACCCCAGGGAUAACAGCGCAAUCCACUCAUAGAGCCCAUAUCGACGAGCGGGUUUACGACCUCGAUGUUGGAUCAGGACCACCUAGUGGAGCAGCAACUACUAAGGGUUCGUUUGUUCAACGAUUAAAGUCCUACGUGAUCUGAGUUCAGACCGGAGUAAUCCAGGUCAGUUUCUAUCUAUAACCAGACUUUUCUAGUACGAAAGGACCGAAAAGCCAAGGCCAAUAAAGCCCUCAAACCUUUCAACAAUCCCUAAAAACAAAUAAAGGGACCAAAAGAAAAACACUCAAG
rnacentral:rRNA from 1 species